ensembl:lincRNA
AGUUUCCAGCAGCCUGACUUUCCCAAGGACAGUCAGAAGCAUGUCAAGAACAAGCCUGAACAUUUGAUCAGAACCAGUCAUUCUCACCUCUAAACUAAGCCUCCAGGUAAUAUUUGGGCAAAGGGAGGGGGAUUUAAAGAAAAUAAACAACAAAACAAAAAAAAAUAGAGUAAAUAAAUAAGGUAAAGGAAAAUUAAUUUAUGAAGGUUAGUGAUAGGGAAGCAACAUUUCCAUCCUGGCCAUUAGGGUAGUGUUUAAAAAGGGUGGGUGAUGGACAGAGUCAAGGAGACCAAGGAAGAUGUGAUGUGCACUCUGAAUACCCACCCACAGUUUCAAAGGUUGUUAGGUUACUUGUUCUGAGGUACUGGCCACUACUCUGGUUGGAUUGUUAAUUGUGUUUCCUAGGUCUCUGCAGGAAGGCUCCUUUGAAGGAAAAUGUAAUGACUCUCAAUCUUUUUUUUUUAAUUUGUUUUAUGCAUGUUUUGUGAAUUUGAAUCCAUGGAAGUGCAUUAUCACAAUGUCGACUUUGCAUGUAAACAUCGUUCAGGAGUGGCAGUGCCUGCAGCUGCAUCAUAAGGAAUUCAGUCCAUCUGAUGAAGCUGUGCCUUCUUCUGAGGGGGAAUGGGAGGAUCUCGAGUGCUACAACAGUAGAGAUUUUGAACCACUCUGUCUUUUCCAUGCCCGCCUUUCAUCGUUUACUGCAGCAAUGAUUCCAGUGAGGACCCAUGAUCUGCCUUCAUCUCUUGGGACACCACAUCUACCCUGAGAGAGUUCAGUGACUCUUCUCUAUCACCUCCCAGAAGCUUAUCUGAACACUUAAAAAUUAAACAGGAGCCCAGAUCAACAAAAAAGAAGAAAGGGAGGUCUUUGAAUUCUAUAAUUUUGUCUUGUGGGGUUUGAUUGGAGAAAUGCACUUAGACACGGAGGCAGGGUUGGUUCAGGGCAGGGCCAUAUUUAUAAGCUCAAAAUACUUGUUUUAGCGAUGACAAAGGAAUCGGCACUUCUUUUUUUCUUCCCAAAAGAAAACAGAAGCUUAUUAUCCUGACAGAGGAAGUGCAGACAUUUUUAGAUGGAGAUUAAACCUUAUUCCCAAACACUGAGGCUCCUGUUCAGCUUCUUGGCGAAGAGAUUUUUUAGUAACUUUUAAAAAUUGUUAGCAUGCUACAUUGGUCAGCUCUCUAAAUAAUUUAGAGAACUUGUGACCUGGAGCUUUCAUGGAGCUGAUGUAACUGUUCUGGAAAUCCCUUGACUUGAACUUGAGUCUUACUUGCACACAGCUGCGUUAUGUCCACCGGCAACAGCACUCUGUACCCAGAAAGCAGUGGGAGAAUGGGGUAAAAAAAAAAAAAAAAAAAAAUUUUAAAAAAAAAAAAAAGACAUCCUCCAAAUCUAGGCUAUUCCUGGACUGCAGUUCUAGGCAUUGUCCACCAGGUGUCCUUCUUCACACGAGCAGCCCUGCUCAGAAGAUGGUGUACUGCUUGACUAUGGGAUUAUUUUUAAAACCAAAGCAAUUUUCUGGAUGUUAGUACAGACGUGUAUAAACACGCAAGUGUAAUGUCAAAUUUUAAAACAAGCUAAAUGACUUACAAUUAUUUAAGUAGGAGUAAUCAGUUGGAACUCUUGUCAGUUUCUUAACAUGGGAACAUUUAACUGGGGCAAUAAGUAGCCCAUGGAUUCAGGAAAUUCUGAGGGGGAAAAAAGUCUUCCUCCUAAAUCUCAUCAUCCUUGUAUUUGUAAAAUCCAAGGUUCUCAGUGUGCAAACAGAUUUAUUUCCCCAUUACAAUUUAUUUUGGUAAAAAUAAAACAUAUUCUGAUCAGGCUUAGGGACUCUGUAGUUAAAUUUGAUAGCUCAUUUUCUACCUAAGCUUGUUUCUCAAUUUCAAAUCUUUGUUCUAAUACACUGAAAAAAAAUCUCUCUCAAGAAGUUCAGGAAUAAUAUUAUAUUAGGUUUAUGUUUUCCUGAAAUUGAGAGUGACAAUUGUAAUAGACAACUCAAACACAGCUUAGAAAGUAUAACUUAUGUCUUUGAGACAAUCCAGGGAAAAAAAGUAUUGUUCUUGUGGUCUGCAGAAGAGAUUGACUAGAGAAAGCAGUUUCAGAGAUGUCUCUCUGUAUGUUUCCUCCACGUUUUGUUUUGAUGAGUCACCCAAAAGAUCAUUUCUACCAGCUUUGGAACUGUCUUUUUUCAUUCCCUUGCUACCCCACAAAAAAAAUGGAAGUUCCUGAAAGCACUAGAUGUCCCCCUUUACAUUUUUAAUUAAAUUAUGCAAAGACAUAACUAAAAAGGUCAACUAGAAUUCCAACUUUACUCCAAAGAACCACACUAUUCUAUACAAUUAUUGAAACAGGGCCUGAACAUCAAAGCACCGUGGUGAGCCUGAAGACCUCCUUUUUCGUUGUUUCUACUCAUUUUCAUUUAGUUUUGUUUAUUGUUCUUGAUACCAUUAGGCAUUAAAAUCAGUUUCUCUAGUGACCAUGUUCAUCAAGAGACUUACAGUAGGGACAGUCUUUCAGAGUGGCAUUCGCAUCAAUGCUGGCUUGCCAUUUCGGGUCCUUCGAGUAUUUAUAGAUAUGUUCAUUAAAACUCAAAUUUGAAUUUGAACCCAGAUUUUGUGUGCCUUAAUCUUAUUUCUUAUAAUAUGUUUGUUUAUGAAUUUGAUUUUUUAUUGCAUAUUGGGAACUUCAUGCUAUCAAUACUAUAAAAAUGUUGAGGAAUAUGUAUGUCUGCUAUCUCAAGAAGCUGUGAAAAUAAUUCUAAAAGCUAUUUCCUAAAUAUACUUCUGGAUCCUAUUGCUGGUAUUUGUAGUAUAAAAUAAAUAUCUAUUUUAUCAGUCAUGUCAUGUGCUUUCAAGAUAGUUUUUAGACUUAUAAAGCACCAUCACUGAAAUGCAUGAAGUAAUGAGUCUGAUUACAGAAGAGAUGAAAAACAGUGACCCACAAAUUUAUGUAAAGCAAAUUUUCUUUCCGAUAUUAUUUUAUUAAACUAAUGGAUGUAAGCAGAGAGGCAAAGAUUGUUAUACCCCUUCUAUAAAAAGUAAAAUAGAAAUUCACUUUAUAAAAUUGUUUUCACUUGACUUGAGCUAUCUGGAUGUAAU